rnacentral:rRNA from 1 species
GACGAACGCUGGCGGCGUGCUUAACACAUGCAAGUCGAACGGAAAGGCCCUGCUUGCAGGGUGCUCGUGUGGCGAACGGGUGAGUAACACGUUGGUGAUCUGCCCCUUACUUUGGGAUAAGCCUGGGAAACUGGGUCUAAUACUGGAUAGGACCAUGCUGUAGGUGGUGUGGUGGAAAGAUUAGUUUCGGUAAGGGAUGAGCUCGCGGCCUAUCAGCUUGUUGGUGGGGUAAUGGCCUACCAAGGCGUCGACGGGUAGCCGGCCUGAGAGGGUGGACGGCCACAUUGGGACUGAGCUACGGCCCAGACUCCUACGGGAGGCAGCAGUGGGGAAUAUUGCACAAUGGGCGCAAGCCUGAUGCAGCGACGCCGCGUGGGGGAUGACGGCCUUCGGGUUGUAAACUCCUUUCAGCCAUGACGAAGCCCUUGUGGUGACGGUAGUGGUAGAAGAAGCACCGGCUAACUACGUG